GCCGCCGGCGGCAAAACGAAAAAUUGAGGGUAGGUGGGAGGGAAAAGUAGAAGAUAGGGUUUCCGCCCCAGAUUGAGGUCGACCUUGUCGCCGCCAUCCGUCCGCUGCGCCUCAGCACUCAGGUACUGUCAAGAAACGGACAUUGAUCCGGGUGCGGGUGGGUCGGUGCCUGAGGUGCCAAUGGUAUAGACCGGCAACUCAAGCGAUGUUGGUUUGAAGUAUGGCAAAUAUUGUGAUCCAAUCAACAAGAGUAAGCUUGAUGUGCUGCAUGGUGGUAGGAUCUAGCUUUGAAUCCUUCAUACUGUCCUGAGCUAUUAUGGAAGGUGCAGCCUGUUGAUACAACUUCUGCCUUUUGCCACCCUUGACAAAAAAUUAGACGCUGCUGUUUUGCAUCUUCAGAAAUGUUCGUGCAAAACAGAAGGAAUUGUGUUGUGUAAUUGCAGUCAAGUGCAACGCAUAAUUAAUAAGGUACCUCUCAUACUUUGGAGAUUACGAGUAAGAUCCAAGGUUCAGUACCGAUCGAUAAGAGAGGAUUAGGGAAGAAUUGCACAGUUCCAG